CUAUCUGAAUAAACUUCUUAAAAUGAGUAACAAAGUAUGUUUCCUUUUUCUGUUUGCCUCUAUGUGUUUUUGUUAUCAAUUUCCUUAGUUUUGUUCUCUCUGCUCAGAGCUUUGCUCUCACUUCCAGAUUUGCACUUACACUGUCUGGCUUUCUCCUUUGCAAUCCCUGAGUUUUUGGUUGCAAUUCUGACACAACCCUUUCGGGUGGGCGGGACUUCUGAGAAGUCCUCUCCCAUAGGACAGUGGUUUCUCUUGAGUGACAGUUCAGUGACCUGGAAGUGAUGUAGCCUCCAAGACAUUUUUUUCCCACCUGGUCAACAACAUGAAUUUUGAGCCCCAAACAGGUUAUUUCUGCUGUCUGUGGUGUCUACUGAGGAUCUAAAGAACCUGUGGAACAUCAGAGACUUUGCAGCUACUGGAGCUAACCUGUGUACUGCUAACUUGCUACAGAGGAAGCAGCAGAAAGCUGAGCUAACAGGCUGUUUUGCAGGUAAAUACUCUUUUAGUGGAACUGCAGGAUUUUUAUGGUAUAACUCAGACAGAAUCUACAUGAGCUAUUGUGGGAAGACAUUUAAACUACAUUUACAUACAGAUACAUGUAUUUUUUUAUUCCAUGUUACUUGGACGGGCUAAACAAGUUCAUAGUUCUGCCUGCUCCUUUUUCAGUGAAACGAAUGGAUUUUAUGAUGUAACUCUGACUGAAUAAUUAUCUAAAUUGAAAACUGCUGCAUUGCAUUACAAUGGAAGUGCUACACAGCCACAUGCAUCAACUGCAGCUGUUGACAAGCAUAUGGACCUAUUGUUCGAGUCCGUGGUGGUGGAUGCUCUAUCAUAUCAGGAGUCGGUGGUGGUGGAUGCUCUACCAUAUCAGGAGUCUGACUAAGUACCUGUGCCUGAACCUCUCUGUGUCUAGUUCAAAAGACCUGAAAGACCUGCUGUAAGCAGGCACAGGAUAAGAUUUUAAAAGAACCUGUAAGGUUGCCUGAUGCUGAACUUCGGGCAGCUGCGUGCUCAGUGGAACAACCGCCUGUGGGAGGAGUCGUUGUGUUGCUGUUAGAAGUUUGGGUCGGAGUCCUGGAUCUAUGGGAAUUCUUUCCUUGAAGCUCCUGAUCACACAACCAUACUGGCAGUCGGCUUACCCACUACCUUCUGCUCACCCGCUUGCUACUCAUGCUGUCAUUCUCCCAGACUUCUGGUUGUUUCUCCACCAUUCUGCUGUCUCCCGUCUGCGCUACAAUUUCAGACCGUAAGUACCUAAACUUUUCCUUUUGUAAGUCAUUCUUUAGUCAUUACUAACACUCAAUUUUACCUCAGGGCCUUCUGAUCUUUAAACACUAAAACCUGUGGCUCCAUCUCUGUGGCGUUUCUCAGACUCUGUAAGCUACCUGCACAGUCUAAGAAAACCCUGACCUGUUGCCUCUUACUAACCUCUGCUCUUCCUCGCAGAAGCUUCUGGUUCCUGAUCUCCAGCUGUUACCUCUUCAGUCAUCCGUCAAACAUUUUAAUAAACUGUUUUUAGCUCA